UCUGGUUGAUCCUGCCAGUAGUCAUAUGCUUGUCUCAAAGAUUAAGCCAUGCAUGUCUAAGUAUAAGCAAUUUAUACAGUGAAACUGCGAAUGGCUCAUUAAAUCAGUUAUCGUUUAUUUGAUAGUUCCUUUACUACAUGGAAUACCUGUGGUAAUUCUAGAGCUAAUACAUGCUUAAAAUCCCGACUGUUAUGGAAGGGAUGUAUUUAUUAGAUAAAAAAUCAAUGUCUUCGGACUCUUUGAUGAUUCAUAAUAACUUUUCGAAUCGCAUGGCCUUGUGCUGGCGAUGGUUCAUUCAAAUUUCUGCCCUAUCAACUUUCGAUGGUAGGAUAGUGGCCUACCAUGGUUUCAACGGGUAACGGGGAAUAAGGGUUCGAUUCCGGAGAGGGAGCCUGAGAAACGGCUACCACAUCCAAGGAAGGCAGCAGGCGCGCAAAUUACCCAAUCCUAAUUCAGGGAGGUAGUGACAAUAAAUAACGAUACAGGGCCAUUGGUCUUGUAAUUGGAAUGAGUACAAUGUAAAUACCUUAACGAGGAACAAUUGGAGGGCAAGUCUGGUGCCAGCAGCCGCGGUAAUUCCAGCUCCAAUAGCGUAUAUUAAAGUUGUUGCAGUUAAAAAGCUCGUAGUUGAACUUUGGGUUUGGUCGACCGGUCCGAUUUUUUUCGUGUACUGGGCUCGACUGAAUCUUUCCUUCUGGCUAACCAAUGGGGUUUACUCUAUUGGCGAACCAGGACUUUUACUUUGAAAAAAUUAGAGUGUUCAAAGCAGGCGAUAGCUCGAAUAUAUUAGCAUGGAAUAAUAGAAUAGGACGUUUGGUUCUAUUUUGUUGGUUUCUAGGACCAUCGUAAUGAUUAAUAGGGACGGUCGGGGGCAUCAGUAUUCAAUUGUCAGAGGUGAAAUUCUUGGAUUUAUUGAAGACUAACUACUGCGAAAGCAUUUGCCAAGGACGUUUUCAUUAAUCAAGAACGAAAGUUAGGGGAUCGAAGAUGAUCAGAUACCGUCGUAGUCUUAACCAUAAACUAUGCCGACUAGGGAUCGGGUGGUGUUUUUUUAUGACCCACUCGGCACCUUACGAGAAAUCAAAGUUUUUGGGUUCUGGGGGGAGUAUGGUCGCAAGGCUGAAACUUAAAGGAAUUGACGGAAGGGCACCACCAGGAGUGGAGCCUGCGGCUUAAUUUGACUCAACACGGGGAAACUCACCAGGUCCAGACACAAUAAGGAUUGACAGAUUGAGAGCUCUUUCUUGAUUUUGUGGGUGGUGGUGCAUGGCCGUUCUUAGUUGGUGGAGUGAUUUGUCUGCUUAAUUGCGAUAACGAACGAGACCUUAACCUUUAAAUAGUUCUGCGCGGCUUUUUGCUCGUUUGAACUUCUUAGAGGGACUAUCGAUUUCAAGUCGAUGGAAGUUUGAGGCAAUAACAGGUCUGUGAUGCCCUUAGACGUUCUGGGCCGCACGCGCGCUACACUGACGGAGCCAGCGAGUGUAUCCUUGGUCGAGAGACCUGGGUAAUCUUGUGAAACUCCGUCGUGCUGGGGAUAGAGCAUUGCAAUUAUUGCUCUUCAACGAGGAAUUCCUAGUAAGCGCAAGUCAUCAGCUUGCGUUGAUUACGUCCCUGCCCUUUGUACACACCGCCCGUCGCUAGUACCGAUUGAAUGGCUUAGUGAGGCUUCCGGAUUUGCUUAGAAGGAGGGGCAACUCUCUUUCAGAGCGGAGAAGCUAGUCAAACUUGGUCAUUUAGAGGAACUAAAAGUCGUAACAAGGUUUCCGUAGGUGAACCUGCGGAAG
rnacentral:rRNA from 1 species